UUAAGCGACUAAGCGUACACGGUGGAUGCCCUGGCAGUCAGAGGCGAUGAAGGACGUGCUAAUCUGCGAAAAGCGUCGGUAAGGUGAUAUGAACCGUUAUAACCGGCGAUGUCCGAAUGGGGAAACCCAGUGUGAUUCGUCACACUAUCGUUAACUGAAUACAUAGGUUAACGAGGCGAACCGGGGGAACUGAAACAUCUAAGUACCCCGAGGAAAAGAAAUCAACCGAGAUUCCCCCAGUAGCGGCGAGCGAACGGGGAGCAGCCCAGAGUCUGAAUCAGCUUGUGUGUUAGUGGAACGGUCUGGAAAGUCCGACGGUACAGGGUGAUAGUCCCGUACACCAAAAUGCACAGGUUGUGAACUCGAAGAGUAGGGCGGGACACGUGGUAUCCUGUCUGAAUAUGGGGGGACCAUCCUCCAAGGCUAAAUACUCCUGACUGACCGAUAGUGAACCAGUACCGUGAGGGAAAGGCGAAAAGAACCCCGGCGAGGGGAGUGAAAAAGAACCUGAAACCGUGUACGUACAAGCAGUGGGAGCACCUUCGGGUGUGACUGCGUACCUUUUGUAUAAUGGGUCAGCGACUUAUAUUCUGUAGCAAGGUUAACCGUAUAGGGGAGCCGCAGGGAAACCGAGUCUUAACUGGGCGUUAAGUUGCAGGGUAUAGACCCGAAACCCGGUGAUCUAGCCAUGGGCAGGUUGAAGGUUGGGUAACACUAACUGGAGGACCGAACCGACUAAUGUUGAAAAAUUAGCGGAUGACUUGUGGCUGGGGGUGAAAGGCCAAUCAAACCGGGAGAUAGCUGGUUCUCCCCGAAAGCUAUUUAGGUAGCGCCUCGUGAAUUCAUCUUCGGGGGUAGAGCACUGUUUCGGCUAGGGGGUCAUCCCGACUUACCAACCCGAUGCAAACUACGAAUACCGAAGAAUGUUAUCACGGGAGACACACGGCGGGUGCUAACGUCCGUCGUGAAGAGGGAAACAACCCAGACCGCCAGCUAAGGUCCCAAAGUCAUGGUUAAGUGGGAAACGAUGUGGGAAGGCACAGACAGCCAGGAUGUUGGCUUAGAAGCAGCCAUCAUUUAAAGAAAGCGUAAUAGCUCACUGGUCGAGUCGGCCUGCGCGGAAGAUGUAACGGGGCUAAACCAUGCACCGAAGCUGCGGCAGCGACACUAUGUGUUGUUGGGUAGGGGAGCGUUCUGUAAGCCUGCGAAGGUGUGCUGUGAGGCAUGCUGGAGGUAUCAGAAGUGCGAAUGCUGACAUAAGUAACGAUAAAGCGGGUGAAAAGCCCGCUCGCCGGAAGACCAAGGGUUCCUGUCCAACGUUAAUCGGGGCAGGGUGAGUCGACCCCUAAGGCGAGGCCGAAAGGCGUAGUCGAUGGGAAACAGGUUAAUAUUCCUGUACUUGGUGUUACUGCGAAGGGGGGACGGAGAAGGCUAUGUUAGCCGGGCGACGGUUGUCCCGGUUUAAGCAUGUAGGCUGAUUGUCCAGGCAAAUCCGGAUAAUCAAGGCUGAGGUGUGAUGACGAGGCACUACGGUGCUGAAGUAACAAAUGCCCUGCUUCCAGGAAAAGCCUCUAAGCAUCAGGUAACAUCAAAUCGUACCCCAAACCGACACAGGUGGUCAGGUAGAGAAUACCAAGGCGCUUGAGAGAACUCGGGUGAAGGAACUAGGCAAAAUGGUGCCGUAACUUCGGGAGAAGGCACGCUGGUGUGUAGGUGAAGCCCCUGCGGGUGGAGCUGAGACCAGUCGAAGAUACCAGCUGGCUGCAACUGUUUAUUAAAAACACAGCACUGUGCAAACACGAAAGUGGACGUAUACGGUGUGACGCCUGCCCGGUGCCGGAAGGUUAAUUGAUGGGGUUAUCCGUAAGGAGAAGCUCUUGAUCGAAGCCCCGGUAAACGGCGGCCGUAACUAUAACGGUCCUAAGGUAGCGAAAUUCCUUGUCGGGUAAGUUCCGACCUGCACGAAUGGCGUAAUGAUGGCCAGGCUGUCUCCACCCGAGACUCAGUGAAAUUGAACUCGCUGUGAAGAUGCAGUGUACCCGCGGCAAGACGGAAAGACCCCGUGAACCUUUACUAUAGCUUGACACUGAACAUUGAGCCUUGAUGUGUAGGAUAGGUGGGAGGCUUUGAAGCGUGGACGCCAGUCUGCGUGGAGCCAACCUUGAAAUACCACCCUUUAAUGUUUGAUGUUCUAACGUUGGCCCCUUACCGGGGUUGCGGACAGUGUCUGGUGGGUAGUUUGACUGGGGCGGUCUCCUCCCAAAGCGUAACGGAGGAGCACGAAGGUUAGCUAAUCCUGGUCGGACAUCAGGAGGUUAGUGCAAUGGCAUAAGCUAGCUUGACUGCGAGCGUGACGGCGCGAGCAGGUGCGAAAGCAGGUCAUAGUGAUCCGGUGGUUCUGAAUGGAAGGGCCAUCGCUCAACGGAUAAAAGGUACUCCGGGGAUAACAGGCUGAUACCGCCCAAGAGUUCAUAUCGACGGCGGUGUUUGGCACCUCGAUGUCGGCUCAUCACAUCCUGGGGCUGAAGUAGGUCCCAAGGGUAUGGCUGUUCGCCAUUUAAAGUGGUACGCGAGCUGGGUUUAGAACGUCGUGAGACAGUUCGGUCCCUAUCUGCCGUGGGCGCUGGAGAAUUGAGGGGGGCUGCUCCUAGUACGAGAGGACCGGAGUGGACGCAUCACUGGUGUUCGGGUUGUCAUGCCAAUGGCACUGCCCGGUAGCUAAAUGCGGAAGAGAUAAGUGCUGAAAGCAUCUAAGCACGAAACUUGCCCCGAGAUGAGUUCUCCCUGAGACUUUAAGUCUCCUGAAGGAACGUUGAAGACGACGACGUUGAUAGGCCGGGUGUGUAAGCGCAGCGAUGCGUUGAGCUAACCGGUACUAAUGAACCGUGAGGCUUAACCUU
rnacentral:rRNA from 1 species